rnacentral:rRNA from 1 species
GCCUACGGGAGGCAGCAGUGGGGAAUAUUGGACAAUGGGGGGAACCCUGGUCCAGCGACGCCGCGUGAGUGAAGAAGUAUUUCGGUAUGUAAAGCUCUAUCAGCAGGGAAGAAAAUGACGGUACCUGACUAAGAAGCCCCGGCUAACUACGUGCCAGCAGCCGCGGUAAUACGUAGGGGGCAAGCGUUAUCCGGAUUUAAUGGGUGUAAAGGGAGCGUAGACGGUGCAGCAAGUCUGAUGUGAAAGGUCGGGGCGCAACCCCGGCACUGCAUUGGA